CCCUCCCUCCCUCCCUUCUGAGCAUCAAGUGCAGCCUGCGCGCAGCGUCCCGGCUGCGACUCUGUCUCAGAAGAAGCAAUGAGGAGAAGGGAGCCGUCGCCCUGCUGAUACCAGGACGUCUGGGAUGCAGUAACAGCCGUUUGUUUUCUACUCGGAUCAUAUUUGUAUAUUUCUAGGGAAAACAAACAAUAAGUUGCGGAUUUGGCAUAUCCAUCAAACGGAUGCAAGCAGAGCCAGGCCCAACUUAACAAUGGGCCCAAUAACCCUGUGUGUGCUGCUCCCGGUGACGGUGCUGGCUUUGGUGGUGGCUGUAGCUGCUGAGGAGAAUGCAGUCGACGACGAGUACACUUGGCCGCAGUGGAAGGUGCCUCUGGUAAGGAAAAGACGCACUGUGCAUCUAAGCAGCCCAAACUUUUCUGCCCAUCCUCAGCCAGAGCUGAGUGGGACCUGUGGGAUUGAGUGUCAGCGUCGCCUCCCUGCCACGUCUCUGGACGACCUGGAGCAGUUCCUCUCCUACGAGACGGUUUAUGAGAAUGGUACACGCACAUAUACCUCAGUUUCUGUGCAGGGUCUCAAUGAGGUGACUGCCUGGUCCAAAAAUAUCUCGUCUAGCUCCCGCCAAAAACGAGAGGUGUACGGCACAGAUACCCGCUUCACCAUCUCUGAUAAGCAGUUCUCAACCAAAUAUCCAUUCUCCACCUCUGUGAAGCUCUCCACAGGAUGCUCUGGAGUUCUUGUGUCACCUAAACAUGUGCUGACCGCUGCCCACUGCAUCCAUGAUGGGAAGGAUUAUCUAGAUGGGGUGCAGAAGCUGCGCGUUGGUAUUCUGAAGGAGAAGUCCAGACGAGGGAAAGGAGGCAAAGGGAGAGGAAAGGGCAAAAGGAGAAAGGGAGACAAAGAUAAAGAGGAAGUGCAGGAGAAGGAAGAGAAUGAAGGGAAAGGGGACCGUAAAGGAAAAGGGAAAGGUAGAAAGAGCCGCAGUCGGCGAAGUGCGGAAUCAGGGAAACCUUCGUUUAGGUGGACCGGGGUCAAGAAGACCCAGGUGCCUAAGGGCUGGUUCAAAGGUGUGUCUGACGGACUGACUGCGGAUUAUGACUAUGCUGUUUUGGAGCUGAAGAAAGCCCCCAAAGUCAAGCACAUGGAUCUAGGUGUUAUCCCCUCUGUCAAGAAGCUUCCUGCUGGGAGGAUCCACUUCUCCGGCUUUGAUGAUGACCGUCCUGGCAACCUGGUGUACCGGUUCUGCUCCGUCUCGGAGGAGUCCAAUGAUUUGUUGUACCAAUACUGUGAUGCCAAACCUGGCUCCAGUGGCUCUGGGAUCUACAUCCGCCUCAAAGAGCCUGGUAAGAAGAAGUGGAAGAGGAAGAUCAUUGGGGUUUUCUCCGGUCACCAGUGGGUGGAUGUAAACGGGAACGGGAUGCAGCAGGAUUACAACGUGGCGGUGAGGAUAACACCUCUCAAAUAUGCCCAGAUCUGCUACUGGGUCCAUGGGGACUCGAGUGAGUGCCAGGUAGCCUAAGACAACACAGGAUCCCCCCAUUAACCACAACCCCUCUCCGGUCCCUCAGACCAACCUUUAUACAAGGGACACCCUAUCUUCUCUCACCCUCCACCUCUCAUUACCAACCAGGGGCACGACGACUGCCUCUCCUCUUCCUGCCUCCCUUUUACCUCCUGUGCCUCCCAGUGACUCCUGCUAAACACACACACACACACACACACACACACACACACACACACACACACACACAACCCACAUAUAGCCAUACAGACUCAGUGUUGACAACAGGAAGUCGUCAGCGUAUCAAGAGAACUGUGGCUCUUCAGCUUUUCUAAUUUAUUUGCU